UGGGGAAUAUUGCACAAUGGGCGAAAGCCUGAUGCAGCGACGCCGCGUGAGGGAAGAAGGUUUUCGGAUUGUAAACCUCUGUCUUCGGGGACGAUAAUGACGGUACCCGAGGAGGAAGCCACGGCUAACUACGUGCCAGCAGCCGCGGUAAAACGUAGGUGGCGAGCGUUGUCCGGAAUUACUGGGUGUAAAGGGAGCGCAGGCGGAAUGGCAAGUUGAAUGUGAAAACUAUGGGCUCAACCCAUAGACUGCGUUCAAAACUGCUGUUCUUGAGUGAUGUAGAGGUAGGCGGAAUUCCCGGUGUAGCGGUGGAAUGCGUAGAUAUCGGGAGGAACACCAGUGGCGAAGGCGGCCUACUGGGCAUUAACUGACGCUGAGGCUCGAAAGUAUGGGGAGCAAACA
rnacentral:rRNA from 1 species